rnacentral:siRNA from 1 species
AGGAGCUUCAUGCUGCCAAGUGCA